rnacentral:rRNA from 1 species
AUGUCAGGGAGCUCAUCCCGCGGCGGCGACGACGCGGCGUGGAGCGCCAAGGAGAACAAGCUGUUCGAGGAGGCACUCGCCUACCACGGCGAGGGCACGCCCGACCGCUGGCUCAAGGUGUCUCGCGCCAUGGGCGGGACCAAGACGGCCGACGAGGUGCGCCGCCACUACGAGAUCCUCGUGGACGACAUCAACCUCAUCGAGUCUGGCAGGGUCCCGUUCCCCAAGUACAAGGACAACUGA